AGCUGUGCUGUCAUCGUACUGCUGUUCAGGUUUACUCUGCUCCAGCCCAGUUUGGAAGACUUUCUUGUUUAGCAAGUCUCCAGAGUGGAAUUUGCUGUAGGAGAUCACUCAGUUCUCCAGGGUCCUCAGAGCCCCUAGGGGGCUCCUUGAGGAGUUGGGGGCACAUUUGCUAAUGUCUGAGAAGGGGAGAUGGACAGCAGUCUCUGAAGCAUUUUUAGUAUUUGGUGGCAAGUAGCCAAACGACAACCUCAAAUCAACAUAAAAAUCAUAUUAUGUUCCCGUCGUGGCUCAGCAGGAACAAAUCUGACUAGCAUCCAUGAUGAUGCAGGUUCGAUCCCUGGCCUCGCUCAAUGGGUUAAGGAUCUGGCUUUGCCAUGAGCUGUGGUAUAGGUUGCAGACUCGGCUCGGAUCCCACAUUGCUGUGGCUCUGGCUGGUGACUGUAGCUCUGAUUAGACCCCUAGCCUGGGAACCUCCGUAUGCUGUGGGUGUGACCCUAAAAAGACAAAGAAAAAAAAAGAAGUACUAUUUAUGAUGGAGCUAAGGGCUGAGCUCCAGUGUUAUCACGAAGCAUAAUCAACUUAAAAACGAUUCAUCUUUUAAAAGCAUCAUCAGCUGGUACUGGACACUACUCCGAACAGCUGCGCCGACUUCCAGGUGGGGCCGUGGUACUAAGGCAGUUCUGCAGCCAGUGCGCAGGAGGACGGCGGGCCUGGGCCGAGGUCUGACUGCAAACCAAGUUACCCACAGCAAGGUGCUUCUAGAGUUUGGUCAGGAUUUCUUCAGUUCUAGGCUCUCUGUCUAUAGAAGGGAAAGACCUCCAACAAGGAGCCGUGAACUGAGAGGUGCAGGAGGUUCUGGGGGGGUCUCUCUGUUGACUGAAAUGGUGAGCCCUAUGCCGGAGGGGCACCGGCCCUCAGAGAAGAUACAGAAGCCGAAGGGCACACCUUGGGUAGAUUCGAGAGAGGCUUCAGGCCCUUGUGCCAUCGUCUGGUGUUCUGUGGGGAAGAGCAUAUCAAUUACAGCAUCCCUCAGUGCCAGUCGGCUGAGAGCUGAGAAGAAGGAAUCCAGGUAAGAGCACUUCUUUCUGGCAUCAGAUGGUGUGGGCGCGAGAGCUUGGAUGGCCAAGUGUGCCUCUUAAAGCCGAGGAUCUCUCCAGGGCUGAGCUUCUCAAAGUGGGGUCCCAGGGCUACCUAAAUCAGAAACACAGGCCACAUUCUACCCCAUCCGCAGGUCCAAUCCUGUGAGAUGAUCUUAAGCACAUUAAGCGUAUAGAAGCAGCAAAAUCUAGGGCCAUUAGAUUCUGUUAUUCUCUAGACUUCCACAUCAGUUUCUCACAGCUGGCCUUUCCCAGCUGCCUUUUCAGCCUAUCUUGGUGGCAGCAGUAAUCAGUCAAGACCCCCAUGGGACAUCCUUCCAGGGCCAACAGUAGAGCUUCUGGGUUUUCGUUAAGGAAGGUGGUAUUUCUUAACAGGUGGGUAUCAGGUGAAGGGGGCAAAGUGCUAACACAACCACAACAGAGGGAGAAUAACUCUUCUCAGGGAAAUGUGGACAAGCUCCCAUGAGACGUGGAAGUCGCCUUUCCUAGGUCUUGAAAAAACAAGUUGCUCUCUCCAUCCGUACUCAGGAGCUUUUAGCAUCCAUACACUCCCCAAAUAAGACACUAGACUUUGGACUUUAAGCCUUAAGAUGCCGGGCAGCCUGUAACAGAAGCACCUGGCUUCAUUGUGCUAUUUUUCCGGCAUAGUGACUCACCGCAACCACACCUCUCCCCAAACAAGUGGCCAGGUUUCUCCACCACCAGAUACGCCCUGAGUGACAGUACAGCCAUUAGAAGUGAAUGUCCUGUUUUCACCACACUGGCCUUUGUUUUUACCUUCAGCUAAUGUCAUGUUGCCCUUUAUUCUCCACUACUUCUUACCCUUUAAAAAAAAAAAAAAAAGUCCCUCCAAAUUAUCCUUCUAUUAGUAUUAAUGUCAACUAGAUUCCUCUCAAAGGACAGUCAAGCUUAAUCGACCCCAUUAAAUCUGCAGGGUGUUUUUUGUAUCACUAUCUAUUCCACUAGCUUCGACAUCACACUGAAGUAGGACAGCAUGUUCCAAACGGAAACUGAAACCGGAACAGGAGCUUUGCUGCUCUAGUGUGAAGGGAGGGCUAGAAGCCUGGCACCUGGCCUCGGAAGCUUUUCAAUAAGAUACAGACUGAAAUGUACCUAGCCAAUUCAAGAGGCUCAAAGUAGGGUAUAAGCAGAAAAAAUAUUUUUUUUAAAUAACAGAGAUAGGCACAGGACACCAUGCCCUAAGGACUCAUCCUUUCCAAUCAGUCCUGCAUGUUCUUUGUUCCUGGCUCCCUAGUACUACAUAAAAAAUGAUAGUAGUUUUCUGAAACAUUUUCAGGAGGUGGCCCAAGCCAUAGUUCAAAGGUAACAUCAUAAACUUUUAAAAUUAAAAUC
rnacentral:lncRNA from 1 species